CUACUAGUUGUCGGGUCUUAAUUGACUUGGUAACGCAGCUAACGCGUGAAGUAGACCGCCUGGGGAGUACGGUCGCAAGAUUAAAACUCAAAGGAAUUGACGGGGACCCGCACAAGCGGUGGAUGAUGUGGAUUAAUUCGAUGCAACGCGAAAAACCUUACCUACCCUUGACAUGGCAGGAAUCCUGGAGAGAUCCGGGAGUGCUCGAAAGAGAACCUGCACACAGGUGCUGCAUGGCUGUCGUCAGCUCGUGUCGUGAGAUGUUGGGUUAAGUCCCGCAACGAGCGCAACCCUUGUCAUUAGUUGCUACGAAAGAGCACUCUAAUGAGACUGCCGGUGACAAACCGGAGGAAGGUGGGGAUGACGUCAAGUCCUCAUGGCCCUUAUGGGUAGGGCUUCACACGUCAUACAAUGGUACAUACAGAGGGCCGCCAACCCGCGAGGGGGAGCUAAUCCCAGAAAGUGUAUCGUAGUCCGGAUUGUAGUCUGCAACUCGACUGCAUGAAGUUGGAAUCGCUAGUAAUCGCGGAUCAGCAUGUCGCGGUGAAUACGUUCCCGGGUCUUGUACACACCGCCCGUCACACCAUGGGAGCGGGUUUUACCAGAAGUAGGUAGCUUAACCGUAAGGAGGGCGCUUACCACGGUAGGAUUCGUGACUGGGGUGAAGUCGUAACAAGGUAGCCGUAUCGGAAGGUGC
rnacentral:rRNA from 1 species